GAUUUAACAACCAACUAGCAAGGAGUACUAAGUGCUCUGUAUGCAAAUUCAGAGGCAUAACAAAGACAUAUAUAUGCCUGACAGAUAAACAUUCAUCCAAGAAGAGGUGCUCCAAGAAGAGGCAGCAGGAGGGAGAAGGAAGAUUAAGAGCCUGCUCUUUCAGGAAACCAUAUGUGACAUUUUGCUCGUGUUCCUUCGUUCCCAGUGGUCACAUCUAUGUGAAGAGGAAGGUGUGAAAUGUAAUCUUUAUUCUGUGCAGCUGUGUACUCAGCUAAAAAUGGGGCUGAGCCAGUCCCAGUGAAAAUCUUCCCGCAUCUUCUGGAACUUUCAUGGCUCUCAUCUGCAACACCCUGGGCUUCUCAAAACUUGAGGCUCUGAGAUGCAAGCCUAGUCAGUCUACUUUGGUGAAACUCCCUAGAGAAAUUUCUGGCUGUGAAACCUUCCAGUGCCUCAAUAAGGUGAAGAUGCUUUCCCAGCAAAGCUGAGGAUUUGACUUCAAUAGAUUCAAUAUUUAAUCUCUGUGAGUGUACCAGCUCAGUGAAAAGAGAGUCAUUUGGCCCUUCAGCAAUUAUAAUGGUCUAGGUCACGUUGCUAUAAAUCUGCAAAUCUUAGUGGCUUUAAACCAAAAAGGAUGAUUUCUUGCUCAUGCUACUUACCUCAUGUGGGUUGGCAGCUGAAGUCUGACAUAAUAGAUAUUUGAAGACUCAGGCUGACAGAGAAGCUACCAUCUGAAAUACUGGUGGUCCCCAUUCCAAAGAGGAAAGAAAACUCUGGAGACUUUUGCAUCAGUAAUUCAAUACUCCGGUCUGGAAGAGACCCUUAUCACCUCUACUCACUGGCUAGAACUAGUCACAUGGUCCUAUCCAACCACAACCACAAGUAGACCCGGAAGCACAUUCCACCUUGUGCUUGAAAGGACAGAGAACUGGAAAGAUUUAGAGAACAGCCAUAAUAAUAUCCGCAGAACCUAAGAAAAGUUGAGCCAGUUGUGAUAAUUUACAUUCACAGGCCACUAUCAGGCCCAGACCAACUUCAGGCCAUUGCAAUCCAUAUUUCUAAACCUCUUUGUGUCUCAAUCAAAGGAAAUAACUUUCAUCAUUUUGCUCCUAAUUACUCUGUAUACCUCUCCAAGUGUUCCUACUUCGAGGUAAAAUGUUUCGAGAACCGUGAUGCACACUCCCAGGACUGUCUCAGCUUCCUUGCUGACAUCCUUGGCAUUUGAGCUCUCCUUGAGUGUCCUCCCCAGCCCCACCACCAGUCCCAGCCUCCCAGCUCCCUCCCGCCUCCCCUGUCACCCUGGGAGCUGCUUGCAUGCCUCACUGUUUCAGCGGAUGGCAGCAAUACACAAGGGCACCUCAUUGUUGGAAAGGAACAGCCUUCUGCCUGCCAAGGACAAAUGCAGACACACAAAGCAGUAUCAAGCAAGACUUCACAUCAAAGGGAACCCUGCCUGGGCUUGCCAAGAGCAGGGCUGCCUCUGAGCCUCUCCUUUCAGCCUUGUUGGUAUUCUUAGGGCCUAAGGGGCCCCCAUGGUGUUCCUGCCAGGGCUCCUCAUUUACCCAGCACUCCUGUUCACUCAGACACCUGAAGCUGAAGCUUUCCCUGAAUCUGGACUCGACCACUUGAACAGAGCAGACUGCCAAGCAUUUAACAAUGUUGGGCGAUUAGGAAGGAAAAUUCAUGAGGAAUAUUUACCCCGUGAACUCCCGCUGAGUAAGAGAACGGAAUACUCAACUUCUUCAGGGCAACAACCCAGAGAAAAUUAAGAAGUUCCUGCCUUGGGCCUCAUGGAAAAAGACACAUGAAGGAAGGUGUGCCUCCGGAGGAAGCAAGGAUGCCUUAGGAACGGAAGUUGGGGAACAUGAGAACCGAGGCCGAAAUGGAGACCAGUUGUCCUGGGCAAUUAGGCCUGGUGAGGAGAAGUGGUGUGCUAGACUGAAGACCCAGACAAACC